UCGCCUGCAUGAAGUCGGAAUUGCUGUAAUCGCGGAUCAGCAUGCCGCGGUGAAUACGUUCCCGGGCCUUGUACACACCGCCCGUCACACCAUGGGAGUCGGUAACACCCGAAGCCAGUAGCCUAACCGCAAGGAGGGCGCUGUCGAAGGUGGGAUUGAUGACUGGGGUGAAGUCGUAACAAGGUAAC
rnacentral:rRNA from 1 species